UGGGGAAUAUUGCACAAUGGGCGAAAGCCUGAUGCAGCAACGCCGCGUGAGUGAUGAAGGCCUUCGGAUUGUAAAGCUCUGUCUUUUGGGACGAUAAUGACGGUACCAAAGGAGGAAGCCACGGCUAACUACGUGCCAGCAGCCGCGGUAAUACGUAGGUGGCGAGCGUUGUCCGGAUUUACUGGGCGUAAAGGGUGCGUAGGCGGAUGUUUAAGUGAGAUGUGAAAUACCCGGGCUUAACUUGGGUGCUGCAUUUCAAACUGGAUAUCUAGAGUGCAGGAGAGGAGAAUGGAAUUCCUAGUGUAGCGGUGAAAUGCGUAGAGAUUAGGAAGAACACCAGUGGCGAAGGCGAUUCUCUGGACUGUAACUGACGCUGAGGCACGAAAGCGUGGGUAGCAAACAGGAUUAGAUACCCUGGUAGUCCACGCCGUAAACGAUGAGUACUAGGUGUAGGAGGUAUCGACCCCUUCUGUGCCGCAGUAAACACAUUAAGUACUCCGCCUG
rnacentral:rRNA from 1 species